rnacentral:rRNA from 1 species
UACGUAGGGGGCAAGCGUUGUCCGGAAUCAUUGGGCGUAAAGCGCGUGUAGGCGGCCAGGUAAGUCCGUUCUGAAAGCCCGGGGCUCAACCCCGGGAGGCGGAUGGAUACUGCUUGGCUCGAGUCCGGAAGAGGCGAGUGGAAUUCCCGGUGUAGCGGUGAAAUGCGCAGAUAUCAGGAGGAACACCGAUGGCGAAGGCAGCUCACUGGGACGGUACUGACGCUGAGACGCGAAAGCGUGGGGAGCAAACAGG